GUGGGGAAUAUUGGACAAUGGGCGAAAGCCUGAUCCAGCCAUGCCGCGUGUGUGAAGAAGGUCUUCGGAUUGUAAAGCACUUUAAGUUGGGAGGAAGGGUAGUAACCUAAUACGUUGCUACUUUGACGUUACCGACAGAAUAAGCACCGGCUAACUUCGUGCCAGCAGCCGCGGUAAUACGAAGGGUGCAAGCGUUAAUCGGAAUUACUGGGCGUAAAGCGCGCGUAGGUGGUUCAGUAAGUUGGAAGUGAAAUCCCCGGGCUCAACCUGGGAACUGCUUUCAAAACUGCAUGACUAGAGUACGGUAGAGGGUAGUGGAAUUUCCUGUGUAGCGGUGAAAUGCGUAGAUAUAGGAAGGAACACCAGUGGCGAAGGCGACUACCUGGACUGAUACUGACACUGAGGUGCGAAAGCGUGGGGAGCAAACAGGAUUAGAAACCCGAGUAGUCC
rnacentral:rRNA from 1 species